AACGAACGCUGGCGGCAUGCCUAACACAUGCAAGUCGAACGAGACCUUCGGGUCUAGUGGCGCACGGGUGCGUAACGCGUGGGAACCUGCCCUUAGGUUCGGAAUAACUCCCCGAAAGGGGUGCUAAUACCGGAUAAUGUCUUCGGACCAAAGAUUUAUCGCCUUUGGAUGGGCCCGCGUUGGAUUAGCUAGUUGGUAGGGUAAAAGCCUACCAAGGCGACGAUCCAUAGCUGGUCUGAGAGGAUGAUCAGCCACACUGGGACUGAGACACGGCCCAGACUCCUACGGGAGGCAGCAGUGGGGAAUAUUGGACAAUGGGCGAAAGCCUGAUCCAGCAAUGACGCGUGAGUGAUGAAGGCCUUAGGGUUGUAAAGCUCUUUUACCCGGGAUGAUAAUGACAGUACCGGGAGAAUAAGCUCCGGCUAACUACGUG
rnacentral:rRNA from 1 species